rnacentral:misc_RNA from 1 species
GGGCUUUCAAAGUGGGGCUGGUGAAUGAGGAUGUCUUCUUCCAAAAGAAAAACGCCGUCGCUAUAUUUGCAUCUCUCAGCUGGUAAAGAUCUCACUCUCUCGAGUCUAAAGACGAUAUGAGCGUGAUGGGAAGUUCCGUCCAACGCUUUCCAGUCCCCUUCAAGAACCUUUCGCUAGAUAUCAAGGUAUAAUUAGCCUAGUUUCUUUCGUUUUUUUCAUUCUUUUCCUGCACCAGUUCAACCUUGUUGGUUUUGUUGUUUAUGUUUUGGCCCAUUACAUGCUCGCUUAAAUGCCCAGGAGUCACAAAGGAGCUGUCUUUUGCUGUUACCAGUUUCUUAUAGGCACUUUGCGAUUAAUGGGUUGACCAAAUUUUGCAUAAUUCAAUGCAUACUUAUCGUUUCAGAUCGUUGGUGGAGUUCUGUUUGAAAUCGAUUGAAGGGUUAAACUUGUGUAUCAGAAUAUAGUGAUGAUUUCUAGUUGGAAUGGCUUUUUUGUCUGUGUGUGUGUUACUGAAUGUUUCAAAAUUUCCAUUAAAUUCUUCUUACUUCAAGCGUGUUGUAUUAAUUUGGGAUAUUGCAACUGUAAAGUUUGAGUAAGAUAAUUGAGUUCAAUCACAAACGAAAAUGGGUCUUGAUUUGAGCGAUUGAUAAUGGGAGACUGUUAAGGUUAAUGUGCUAUGAUUGAGUAAUUCUACUAUGAAAAUGACAUGGCAUCUGAAUUUCGCUGUUUGUUUGAGCUAUCCAGAUAUUUAACUUGACAAGAUAGCAAAUAAGCACAUUUUCUACUUCAGUUUGCCUGCUAUUCUUGGCAGUAUACUUGUUCUUAUCAGUGGACGGGGAAAAUCAAAUUUAUAAGGUUUCCUUCACCAUUUGGUUUCCAACUAUUAAACUUAAGGGUAAAUUAAGACUAUGCUUGUAAUUUUUUUGAAGAUUUUACAUGCAUGUACAGGACACAUUGAGUUGAUGACAUCUAGGCCCAAGCAUUGCAAACAUUUCUUUUUCUCAUUGAUGUAGUAGUGUCUUAAAUUGUGCUGUGUUAGUCUAGCAUCUGUUGGUCAACAGUAGAUGGGCAGGUGUGUCCUAGUACUAGAAUUUCAGAUUGCAUACUGGGUCAAUUGCAUGGUGUCUAAUGGCUUAUUCAAAAUAAAUAUACCCUUGCCUAUGCUAAACUAUUUUCUUUUACCAUCUUUCAACUACUGGAAUCAACCUCAGUAGUGAGCAUGUUAUAAAUUUUUUUUUUCUUUCAUAAUUUCACUGCUGCACUAAAAAUAAAUGCGUUCAUUUUAUUGUGCUUUUGAAAUGUUUCUUUGUCAAAUAUUCUUAUUUAUGUUUUGGCUGCUUGACAGGGGAACAAAACAGACAUAGUCAUUUGCAGUUAUGAUGACCAUAUUUUUGUGAGAAUGAGUUUCCCAAUUUAUUUAUAUACUCUACUUAUUUCUGCAAGGAUGUUUCUGACAUUUAAAAUACUUCCCAGGUGAUUGCUACCCAAAUAGGAACAAUGGGGACGAUACUGCAUGCCAGGUCUGCAUGUUUUUUUGUUUGAAGUAGAUAUAUAUAUAUCUCUCUUGUUUUUAAUGUCUGAUCCAAUGUGAUAUUGGUGUUCGUUUCAACUUUAUGACAAGGACUUAGUAAAUUGUUUGUAACUGUGGCUGUGUCUUGGCAUUGUAUCCAAAAUUUACAAUGUUAAAACUUUAAAUUGUCAACCAGAAAAUAAUGUGUUAUAAGCCUAUCGUAGCAAUAAUCUUUCAUAUGGUAACACGAUCAUCUUGCAUGCUUGAAUUUCUGAUGUGCUUAGUGUAGUGAGUUCUCAUAUAAUGAUACAUAUAUCCAUUCCUUUACUCAAAAUUCAUUUCUUUGCAGGAAAGACUGUUCAAGUUUAUAGAUUUAUCUGCUGUUGCUCCCCUGUACCUUGUGCCCUAAUGAUAAUAAUGCUGGGAAGUAGAUAUUAAUUGAUCUUAUAUAUAUAAUGAACAAAAAUUGAUUUAUCCAACACUGACAUAAUUUGCAUAGAAAUGGACGCUCUUGCAUUGCUCAAUUCCUUUAUUUUGUUAUAAAAACAAAAUAUGUAUAUCUGUUCUUGUGUCUUGAUACAUAUGAUUGUUUGCUGCCUAUGGUCAUGAAGACAAUCUUUGAGAAACUCUCUCUCUAGUAAAUGGUUGGCUUCUUCCCUAAAUCGAAAUGCCAAGAAAUUUUAGGGUCAAUAUAAUUGGCUUUCUUAAGCAAAACUUUUUUUAUGUUGAAGGGUACAAGAACAAAGAUGGCUCAAAAAAUAAACCAUGAUAAUAGAUGGUUGUCCAUUUUUGUGCAGAAAAAUAAUCAAUGCAAGUCCAAGACUAUAUUUAUUUGGGUUCAAUGGAGUGGGAAAGGGAUUGAUCACAGACACUUGGAGGGUUGCGAAGGUUUUAUUUUAUUCUAUUAAAUAGUAGUAACUCUGGGUGGGGCUUCUAAGAUUUUUUUGCUCCCCUGUUGCCAGGAAGGAGGAAGGGGUGUCUGUUCAUCCCACUUUCAGUGUAUCUGUAAUAUUUGGCAAACGAGAUGAGGUAAAGCUACUGGGUCUGCACUACCACCUGUUAAUUUUGAUCUCAGCUUAUGUUUGGUUUUGGUUGAACACAAAUAUGUGCAGGGAAUGCUAGUGGCAUGUGCUCGACAACUGAUUGAACACAUAAGUAGCUCAGGUUCCUCCAGGCCAUUGGUGCUGUCUAUUGGUCUUAAAGACCAUUCCAUGGAGACGCUUAAAGGAAUUGUUUCUGCCGUAGUUGAAAAUCGAAUGUGGUAACAAAUUACCCUUGGAUUUCAACCUCAGCAUUUCCACCUGCCGAUUUGUUUUGAGAUUUUUCAUGGAUACAAUCUUGGAGCAUUUAUGGAGGCUUAUUAAUUAUCAUACAAAAUCAUUCUUGACCAAAGCAUUCCCUUUUCGUCUCCUCGCUAUUUUAUUUCUUUCUUUUGAGUCAGAAACAUAAAUCUUGUAGAUGCUUCCUUAUUUUUAAGAAAAUAUUAUCCCUACUGAAACACCUAUGCAUAAGCAUCUCUGCUUUUAAGAAAUAGCAGAGGCAAAAUAUUUAGGAUGUAAAUCAUAAAUGAAUUUAUAAUGGUUGAUUUGUACAUAUUUCACAACUGAAAAACACAUGCAUUAUUAUUUUUUAACCAUGCUUCCAACAUAAUUAUGCUUCCAUCCUCAACGUUAACAGCAUGUCCAUUCUUGCCCUCGCCCAUUGCAACUACAAGAAUCACCGCUUUGAUAAUCACCACCAUCACUUGUAGCUAUCACAGCCCCACUGCUAUAUACACUGCCGCUGCAGUCACCAUCGCAUUGUAAAAAAUUUCCUAAUUUUUAUUAUUAUUUUGAGCAUCACUAGGAGUAUUGAGCUGGUAAAUAUAACACCUAUUACUUUUUAUUUUUUCAUGGUAUAUAAUCACAUAAUUACACAAGUAAAAGAAAAUGGGUCUUGCCUUCUUUGCACGCUUUUGCUACAUGAAUACAGGUACUCAAAGGCACCCCAUGCUAUAGUGCUAGAGAGCACAAGCGCAUGUGUGUG